rnacentral:rRNA from 1 species
CGAAACUGCGAAUGGCUCAUUAAAUCAGUUAUCGUCUAUUUGAUAGUACCUUACUACUCGGAUAACCGUGGUAAUUCUAGAGCUAAUACGUGCUGAAAACCCCGACUUCGGAAGGGGUGUAUUUAUUAGAUUAAAAGCCAAUGCCCCCCGGGGCCCCUUGGUGAUUCAUGAUAACUCCUCGAAUCGCACGGCCUUGCGCCGGCGAUGGUUCAUUCAAAUUUCUGCCCUAUCAACUUUCGACGGCUGGGUCUUGGCCAGCCGUGGUGACAACGGGUAACGGAGGGUUAGGGCUCGACCCCGGAGAAGGAGCCUGAGAAACGGCUACUACAUCCAAGGAAGGCAGCAGGCGCGCAAAUUACCCAAUCCCGACGCGGGGAGGUAGUGACAAUAAAUACUGAUACAGGGCUCUUUCGGGUCUUGUAAUUGGAAUGAGUACAAUUUAAUUCCCUUAACGAGGAACAAUUGGAGGGCAAGUCUGGUGCCAGCAGCCGCGGUAAUUCCAGCUCCAAUAGCGUAUAUUAAAGUUGUUGCAGUUAAAAAGCUCGUAGUUGAACCUUGGGCCUGGCUGGCCGGUCCGCCUCACCGCGUGCACUGGUCCGGCCGGGCCUUUCCCUCUGGGGAACCGCAUGCCCUUCGCUGGGCGUGCCGGGGAACCAGGACGUUUACUUUGAAAAAAUUAGAGUGUUCAAAGCAGGCUUAUGCUCGGAUACAUUAGCAUGGAAUAAUGGAAUAGGACGUGCGGUUCUAUUUUGUUGGUUUCUAGGACCGCCGUAAUGAUUAAUAGGGACAGUCGGGGGCAUCCGUAUUCAGUUGUCAGAGGUGAAAUUCUUGGAUCUACUGAAGACGAACUACUGCGAAAGCAUUUGCCAAGGAUGUUUUCAUUAAUCAGGAACGAAAGUUAGGGGAUCGAAGACGAUCAGAUACCGUCGUAGUCUUAACCAUAAACUAUGCCGACUAGGGAUCGGACGGUGUUGCUUUUUGACCCGUUCGGCACCUUGCACGAAAGUACAAG